UCUGGAUCACCUCCUUAAAGGGAGACCUAAUUCAGGUAGGAGACGAAAAAAAAGUAGUCCCUACCAAGAAUCAAUCCCAAAAGGUCGGAGCGAGGCAAAAUUGGCUUUCAAACUAGGUUCUGGGUUCACACAAGACCUGAAUCAGGAACAAGGGCUAUUAGCUCAGGUGGUUAGAGCGCACCCCUGAUAAGGGUGAGGUCCCUGGUUCGAGUCCAGGAUGGCCCACCUGUACAGGUGGCAAAAAGAAAGAAAAGAAGCGAGGAAUCAGCACCUUAUCUUACUUAUAUAGUAAGAGAGAAUGCUGGCUCUGAGUUCAGAGUCCAGAGGAACCUUGAAAACUGCAUAGAGCUAGGUGAAAAAGCCAAAAAAGAAGACCGCAAGGUCAAGCUAAUAAGGGCA
rnacentral:tRNA from 1 species